GACGAACGCUGGCGGCGUGCUUAACACAUGCAAGUCGAACGGAAAGGCCCUGCUUUUGUGGGGUGCCCGAGUGGCGAACGGGUGAGUAACACGUGAGUAACCUGCCCUUGACUUUGGGAUAACUUCAGGAAACUGGGGCUAAUACCGGAUAGGAGCUCCUGCUGCAUGGUGGGGGUUGGAAAGUUUCGGCGGUUGGGGAUGGACUCGCGGCUUAUCAGCUUGUUGGUGGGGUAGUGGCUUACCAAGGCUUUGACGGGUAGUCGGCCUGAGAGGGUGACCGGCCACAUUGGGACUGAGAUACGGCCCAGACUCCUACGGGAGGCAGCAGUGGGGAAUAUUGCACAAUGGGCGGAAGCCUGAUGCAGCAACGCCGCGUGCGGGAUGACGGCCUUCGGGUUGUAAACCGCUUUCGCCUGUGACGAAGCGUGAGUGACGGUAAUGGGUAAAGAAGCACCGGCUAACUACGUG
rnacentral:rRNA from 1 species